rnacentral:rRNA from 1 species
AACGAACGCUGGCGGCAUGCCUAACACAUGCAAGUCGAACGAGACCUUCGGGUCUAGUGGCGCACGGGUGCGUAACGCGUGGGAACCUGCCCUUAGGUUCGGAAUAACUCCCCGAAAGGGGUGCUAAUACCGGAUAAUGUCUUCGGACCAAAGAUUUAUCGCCUUUGGAUGGGCCCGCGUUGGAUUAGCUAGUUGGUAGGGUAAAAGCCUACCAAGGCGACGAUCCAUAGCUGGUCUGAGAGGAUGAUCAGCCACACUGGGACUGAGACACGGCCCAGACUCCUACGGGAGGCAGCAGUGGGGAAUAUUGGACAAUGGGCGAAAGCCUGAUCAAGCAAUGCCGCGUGAGUGAUGAAGGCCUUAGGGUUGUAAAGCUCUUUUACCCGGGAUGAGAAUGACAGUACCGGGAGAAUAAGCACCGGCUAACUCCGUG